GCAUGAUGUGAUAUUAGGUGGCUGCUUGGAGAAAAGAGGCCACCCCAAAUAUGAGAAAGUACCUUUUGUUAUGAAAAGCUGAAAGUGAAAGAUUCCUUUAUAUAUAUAUAUUUUUAUUUAAUGUAAUUUUAAAUUUUUUUUGCACAGGGGUGAAAGGAGUAGUGAUGGACUCGUUUGGGAAGCCUGUCCAAAACGCUGUAGUGGAGGUAGCAGGGCGAAGAAACGUUUGUCCCUUCAGGACGGAUCGUAACGGGGAAUACUACAGACUGCUGCUGCCCGGAAACUACACCAUCAAAGAACCGAUUAUGUUCAUCACCCCUUUGAGCAGUCCUUAUUUUGUGUCCACGGUUACUAAUUUCUAACGUUUAGUUAAAUGUCUUUGCUUUUAUAGCCCUGAGGUUGUUGUAUUUGUUUAUGGUGGUGAUGGCUGCAAAGCUAUUUGUUUACCGUAAUCAUCAUUACGUCAUCAGCCAUUUGUUGUUUCUCCUUACCUGUGACUUACCUGUAACUGAUCGAUUCCAAUUGUAUUGAGAUGAAAAUCCAGAUACAACAAGACACCGAUCAGAAAACAACUUUGUGCAUCUUAAGAAAUAACAGCACUUUGGGCAUGCUGUUGUACAUCCCAUCAGACUGCACAACAGUGCCUACCGUGGCUUCAACACCUGUGAACAUGUAUUGAUCGUCUUGUGCGCACCGAUGCAUACACCUGAAAUCACCUUCUCAUAUUAGGCUUUUGUGGAAUAGCCUAAAAAAUGACAUAUUUGCAUUUGUAUCUGUGAAAUGUCAUAACACGGGUUACAUGAUCCCUGUG